AUUGAACGCUGGCGGAAUGCUUUACACAUGCAAGUCGAACGGCAGCACGGACUUCGGUCUGGUGGCGAGUGGCGAACGGGUGAGUAAUGUAUCGGAACGUGCCCAGUCGUGGGGGAUAACGUAGUGAAAAUUACGCUAAUACCGCAUACGAUCUAUGGAUGAAAGCGGGGGAUCGCAAGACCUCGCGCGAUUGGAGCGGCCGAUAUCAGAUUAGGUAGUUGGUGGGGUAAAGGCCCACCAAGCCAACGAUCUGUAGCUGGUCUGAGAGGACGACCAGCCACACUGGAACUGAGACACGGUCCAGACUCCUACGGGAGGCAGCAGUGGGGAAUUUUGGACAAUGGGCGAAAGCCUUAUCCAGCCAUUCCGCGUGCAGGAUGAAGGCCCUCGGGUUGUAAACUGCUUUUGUACAGAACGAAAAGGUUUCUACUAAUACUAGGAGCUCAUGACGGUACUGUAAGAAUAAGCACCGGCUAACUACGUGCCAGCAGCCACCGUAA
rnacentral:rRNA from 1 species